rnacentral:rRNA from 1 species
AGGUAGUGACAAGAAAUAACAAUACGGGGCUUAAUGUCUUGUAAUUGGAAUGAUGGGAAUUUAAACCUCUUCCAGAGUAUCAAUUGGAGGGCAAGUCUGGUGCCAGCAGCCGCGGUAAUUCCAGCUCCAAUAGCGUAUAUUAAAAUUGUUGCAGUUAAAAAGCUCGUAGUUGAAUUUCUGCUGCAUUGCUUUUGCUCCUUUACGAGUCUUUGCAUUGUGGCUUAUUUCGGACUUUGUUUUACAAUGUCCGGAUGUUUACUUUGAGAAAAUUAGAGUGCUCAAAGCAGGCUUUCGCCUUGAAUAGUUUAGCAUGGAAUAAUAAAGUAGGACUUUGGUUCUAUUUUGUUGGUUUUAGGUACCAAAGUAAUGGUUAAUAGGAACA